rnacentral:rRNA from 1 species
AUUGAACGCUGGCGGCAGGCCUAACACAUGCAAGUCGAACGGAGUGGCGGACGGGUGAGUAAUGUCUGGGAAACUGCCUGGUAGUGGGGGAUAAAGUUCGGAAACGGACGCUAAUACCGCCUACUAUAAGAUGAGCCUAGGUCGGAUUAGCUAGUGGGUGAGGUAAUGGCUCACCAAGGCUACGAUCCGUAACUGGUCUGAGAGGAUGAUCAGUCACACUGGAACGGAGACACGGUCCAGACUCCUACGGGAGGCAGCAGUGGGGAAUAUUGGACAAUGGGCGAAAGCCUGAUCCAGCCAUGCCGCGUGUGUGAAGAAGGUCUUCGGAUUGUAAAGCACUUUAAGUUGGGAGGCGUUACCGACAGAAUAAGCACCGGCUAACUCUGUGCCAGCAGCCGCGGUAAUAC